rnacentral:rRNA from 1 species
CCUACGGGGCGCAGCAGUGAGGAAUAUUGGUCAAUGGCCGUAAGGCUGAACCAGCCAAGUCGCGUGAAGGAAGAAGGAUCUAUGGUUUGUAAACUUCUUUUAUAGGGGAAUAAAGGUAUCCACGUGUGGAUAUUUGCAUGUACCCUAUGAAUAAGCAUCGGCUAACUCCGUGCCAGCAGCCGCGGUAAUAAGGAGGAUGCGAGCGUUAUCCGGAUUUAUUGGGUGUAAAGGGUGCGUAGGUUGUUUUUUAAGUCAGCGGUAAAAAUUCGGGGCUCAACCACGUCCGGCCGUUGAAACUGGGGGCGUUGAGUGGGCGAGAAGAGGGCGGAAUGCGUGGUGUAGCGGUGAAAUGCAUAGAUAUCACGCAGAACCCCGAUUGCGAAGGCAGCCUUCCGGCGCCCUACUGACGCUGAGGCACGAAAGUGCGGGGAUCGAACAGGAUUAGAUACCCCAGUAGUC